rnacentral:tRNA from 1 species
GCAUGUAUGGCUGAGUGGUCGAAAGCACUGGACUCAUAAUCCAUUUCCAAUAGGACAACGCAGGUUCAAACCCUGCUACAUGUA